UCAAAGAAAAGUAUAUCUCAUGAAAAGUAAGAAAAGGCUCAAAGUGGUCACAGCCUCGCAGGAAUAAUCUAAGCCCGUAGGUACAUUCAUAGGUUGAGGGAUAUGUUACCUACAAUCAAAUCAUAACCAAACUUAGUAUAAAAAAAGGCUCAAAGUUUGACAAUAAUGUCAAUUUGCUUAUAUAACUAGAAUAUACAAGUAUCAAUAUAUAGGAAGCAAAUUUUACCAUAAGUGCUGAUAAGUUGUCCUUGUGAGUUUCUGCGACCUUUCUCAACUAUGCAAUGUUAAUGUUACCCUUGGGGUUUCUGCACAUCAUAGUUUCCUAAUGCACAUCAUACGUUUGAUGCUUUAAUUCUAGUUAUGCUAUUGCCUAAGACAGUUGCAUGAAAUGAACCAUUAGUUGACACUCAUUCCUUCUGAUAUCCUCUUUGAACUUUCUACUAUUAAGCAUUACUUCAUACAGACUAAUUUAUAAUGAUAGAACAGAAGUAAACAUUAUGCCAUUCUAAUCACUUUACUCUAUCUAAAGUACAAAAACCACCAACUAGGAGACAAUGAUAUCAUAUUUGAUCUACUUUCUGAGGAGAAACUAAUGGCAUCUCAACAGAUUUAUUAUGACAGCAAAAUUAACACCGACUGAAAUUCGAG
rnacentral:lncRNA from 1 species